CAACUACUCCCUCCGUUCGGAAUUACUUGUCUCGGAAAUGGAUGUAUCUAGAAUUAAAAUACAUAUAGAUACAUCCAUUUCUGCGACAAGUAAUUCCGAACAGAGGGAGUAGAUG
rnacentral:pre_miRNA from 1 species